GUCCCUGUAGCGUGAUAGAUAGCGUGUUGGACUUAGAAUCCAAAGGUCGUGGGUUCGAAUCCCAUCUGGGAUG